CCAUACGGUACUAAUCCAUAACUUCGAACUUUCCAAAUUUCUUCCGUUCUCAUUGUUCGCCCCCGGUGUAACCCAUUGAAGCUGAGUGAAGAUGGUGUUAUUGUUGAUGGUGGCGGAUUCUAAACAUAAUAUUGUGAGAUCAGUAUGAUUCAAUCUUAUUCACCGGCAAUCUGUAGAUAGUGAUCGUGGCCGAUACAAUAAUCAUCCUGAGCUUAUUAGUCUCUGCACUUCUCUUUCACGCCCAAUUUUCGCCAUGUCUAGAUCUAUAAAAAUUGGGAAUAUUAGGAGAGUUGGACGACUGUUGUGCAAAAAUCAGAUUAAAGUCAAUUAAGAAUGGUCGAGCUAUGGAGCACUAGUUGGAACAGGGUUAUGUUCUCGUCAAUACAGAUUGUAUUCGCAAAAUUCUUUUCCAGCAGGAGACAUCCUGGGAAUGCAAUCAAUAGCUACUUCAAGCAUUUUUCGUCCUCAUAUGCAAGUAAUCCUGUAGCAUGUCAUCCCAAAAUUACGUGGAAGAUGUUGUCACAGAGGGCUUUGCAUAAUGGGAGAUCUUUAUUACCCAUUGUUAAGGAAUAAAUUCCACAAAUAUGGACCAACAUAUUGUUGAAUAUAGUUCAAAAAUCAAUAAAACACGCGUGGAAUGAAAAAGGGGACCGAGGCCUUGACCUAUGCCACCGUAUAGGCCAUAAAGGCGUGUGGCCGCAUGGUCAUUUGGGCCCUGUCUUUGGACAAACUAUACCGUUGCAUAGGUUUGUUCUAUGUGACCGCAUAGAACACUUUUUGCUAGUAGUUAGGACUGGUUUUUGUUUGAAUUUUGGUGGCUUUUUCGAUGAUGUCUUGAAUUUUUUCUUGAAGUUUUGGCGUCAAUGCGUGGAGUAUUGAUUGAGGCCUAUAAAUAGGUGAUCAAUCACCAAAGCAAAAGGGUUAGAAUUAUUUGAGAAAACUAUAUACCCACAAAAGAUCAUUGCACAAAAAGAUAAAAAUAUCCUUCUAUAUCAUAUUCAAAAUUUCUGGUUUUAUGUUCUUAAGUUUUGAAGGAUUUCAUUAGGGAUGCGUUUGAUUGCAAGCAUGAAAUUUGUAUGGAAAGAAAAUAAAUCAUAGGUAAUUCAAUUGCCUUGA